rnacentral:lncRNA from 1 species
UCCUUACAUCCAAUCUAAACCUCCCCUGGCCCAGCCUGAGGCCGUUCCCUCUCCUCCUGUCCCUGUUCCUGGCAGCAGAGCCCGACCCCCCCGGCUGUCCCCUCCUGGCAGGGACUUGUGCAGAGCCAGAAGGGCCCCCUGAGCCUCCUUUUCUCCAGGCUGAGCCCCUUUCCCAGCUCCCUCAGCCCCUGCUGGGGCUCCAGCCCCUUCCCAGCUCCGUUCCCUUCUCUGGGCACGCUGCAGCCCCUCAAUUCCCUGUGCUGAGGGGCCCAGAGCUGGACACGGCACUCGAGCUGUGGCCUCAGCAGUGGCAGCACAGGGACGGGCACUGCCCUGCUCCUGCUGCCGCCCCACGGCUGCCACAGCCCAGGGGCCAUCGGCCUCUUGGCCACCUGGCCACCCCUGGGCUCGUGUCCAGCCCCUAUUGACAAACCAGCCCUCAGGAAGCCCCAUGAAAGUGCCAAAAUGCAGGCAGAAAAGACACGCCAGGGUAAUUUUAUUUUCCAAGCCACCUGUGAGCUCCUUGGAGAGCGUGAGCUGUUCCCUGGUCACAGCUGCUAGAUAAAUCGGUGUGGUUAAUGCUGAGGGGAAGUUAUCCUGGAGAUCAAGAAGCUCCCACCACGCCAGCUCUGUUUGCUGUGGAUGGCAGGCCUGAACACCAGCCAGCUCCCAGCUUCCUCACUGGCUAGGCCGAGCAGAAUCCGUGCCUUUUUUAACCUGGCUUAAAAAAAAAAAAAAAAAAAAAAAAAAAAAAAAAAAAAAAAAAGUAAAACAAAAAUCAGGAGUUUCAGACCUUUGCCUGCUUUGCAUGACGUGCUGAAGCAGAGGUGGAGCUGUCUUUAGCCCAGCACCAGGCAGGCAGUGGAGAUGGCUUUCCACCACCUGAAGGGCACAGGAAACAGGGAGGAGGUGGCAGUAGCUUGCUGCUGUGGGAAAAGCAAGGAAGAAAAGCUUCAUUACUUCCAUCUCCACUGGCAGAGGAAGAGGAAACUUGGAAAUUCAAUUGCAAAAUGCCCACAGAAAAACAGACCCAAAGGAUGCAAGCAGGAGAAUUUCAAAAGCCAUGAGUUUCAGCCCAGCUUUGGUCUCACUGCAGCCAGCAGGAAUUUUACUCCUGAUUACCAACGAGAACAGAAUAAAGUCAGGAGUGAGCAAACCCCACCUCUACAGAGCAGCAUUGUUCCUUCCCUCCAGAGCUGAACAGAGGCAUGUUUCUGAUGAUCAGCAAAAAGCCUGCAUUUAAUGUCAGCCGAAGGGGGGAGAGUGUUAGAAACCUCACAGACACCCUGGGAUGUCACAGUGAAACAGGAGGCUGCGCUGAGCUGGGGAUGAAAAGAUAAAUGAGGCAAAGGAAGCGUUCACAUGGACUCUGACAAAGACUGGAGGAGGGAAAGAGGGAGCAGGAAAGCUCAGGGAACAAAGGGAUGGACUCUGCUCUUACCCAGGCUGAAACAAAGGCUGCUGCAGUUUGUGAUAACUGAGUGUGACACUCUGGGGGAGGAUGGGAACACUUGCCUUUUUUUUGUUUAUUACAGGUGAAUGCACUUACACAGCAGGUGUGGGAAUCUGGGCAGCACAGGCCUGGGUGCAGCAAAUAAGGAAACAGAAAAUAAAACCCAGAAGUGCCUGCUACCA